AAGUCGUAACAAGGUUUCCGUAGGUGAACCUGCGGAAGGAUCAUUAGAGAUUUGACCUGUGCUCCGGCUCCGAGGCCCCCUCUGUGGGGCCGACGGCCACUUUACACAAUCAGCUGUCACGAACGUAAACUAUUGUAAUCAGAAACAA
rnacentral:misc_RNA from 1 species